GACGAACGCUGGCGGCGUGCUUAACACAUGCAAGUCGAACGGAAAGGCCCUGCUUUUGUGGGGUGCUCGAGUGGCGAACGGGUGAGUAACACGUGAGUAACCUGCCCUUGACUUUGGGAUAACUUCAGGAAACUGGGGCUAAUACCGGAUAGGAGCUCCUGAUGCAUGUUGUGGGUUGGAAAGUUUCGGCGGUUGGGGAUGGACUCGCGGCUUAUCAGCUUGUUGGUGGGGUAGUGGCUUACCAAGGCUUUGACGGGUAGCCGGCCUGAGAGGGUGACCGGCCACAUUGGGACUGAGAUACGGCCCAGACUCCUACGGGAGGCAGCAGUGGGGAAUAUUGCACAAUGGGCGGAAGCCUGAUGCAGCAACGCCGCGUGCGGGAUGACGGCCUUCGGGUUGUAAACCGCUUUCGCCUGUGACGAAGCGUGAGUGACGGUAAUGGGUAAAGAAGCACCGGCUAACUACGUG
rnacentral:rRNA from 1 species